GAUAAAUGAUAUAAAUGCAGUGUAGUGCACCUGGAAGAGAUAGGAAUUCACUAUUAUCAGACGCUGAGAUGUUGGCGAGAAAAAUUCUUGAAAAAUCAAAGCCAAAUUCGAGCUUUGGGAUUUGACGACAAGUUCAUCAGGACAUGGGAGUACUACUUUGACUACUGUGCUGCUGGAUUCAAAACAUGCACGCUAGGAGAUUAUCAGAUUGUAUUCUCAAGGCCAGGCAAUGUUGCAGUUUUUGGUGAUCCUUACAAUGGUGUGCCUUCAGCUUAUUAAAGUUUCUUUGUUUGUAAUAUUGGAACUUCCUUUUGGAAAAUAAAUUAAUUAAUUCAUCAACACAAGAAUCAAGCCAGAUGUGUGUCAAUGGUGUUGGGCUAGACUAGCAUAAAGAUACUCUUGACAUGGUGUGCUUCAGCUAACUAGUUUCUGGGCAUACGUUGCGCGUGUACCUCAUGUCAAUGAGUAUUAAUUUUUAAUAGUCA